CGGGGUGUGGCGCAGUUUGGUAGCGCGCUUCGACAUAUGAUUCGGCCGAUGGACAUGAUCCUAAGCAUGAAUCGUCGAAGAGGUCGUGGGUUCAAAUCCCGCUACCCCGA
rnacentral:tRNA from 1 species